rnacentral:misc_RNA from 1 species
AAAGAAGAGAAGAAGAAGAAAAAACUAGAGUAGUCGAAACUCAGAAAGAUGAAGAGAUGAAGCACAGGCGAAGAUUGUAUAUUUCAGGAGAAAAGAAACUCAUAGAGAUGAACUAAUAAACAUUAGCUAAAAAAGAGAUGAACAAAAAGUUACCUGCAGUCGCGGUCGAGGUUGAAGAGAGAGGCAGCCUCAAUCAAGAUCGUCAGAAGAGAAAGAUGUAUUGUGAAAGAAGAGUCGCGAGGAGAGAAAGAAGGGAAAGAGUCGUGAAAGAAGAGUCGUGAGGAGAGAAAGAAGGGAAAGAAGUA